ACCUUUGGCGCAGCACUUGGUAGUCGUUUCCGCGGUGCGGGACGGCUUUAAAAGGGAAUCCGGUGAGAAUCCGGGACAGUCUCCGCUGCUGUAACCUCUAUUGUAAAACCGGCCGAUAACGUGGCGCCACUGUUCCGCAAGGAAUGGGAAGGCCAUCGGCCCGGGGAGGGAGUCAGAAGACCUGCCGCUUGCUCCAUACAGUC
rfam:Hymenobacter swuensis DY53 plasmid pHsw1, complete sequence.